rnacentral:misc_RNA from 1 species
AAAAAACAGUAAAACAAAAGAAACAGAAGGAAAAGCUAUGGCAUGUGAUAAAGUCUCUGAUGUUUCAAACAUGACUGUUUUGCUUCAAAACGACACUCUCCCAUGUGAUUCUCUCUGGAUUCCCACUUCUUCUGCCAUCGUUCAUGGUGCAAAAUCUAUGGUUAACUUUGAGAAUGGUGGUGGUGAAGAGGACACCAUGGAUACGCCAUUCUUCCAGGGUAUUGUUAAAGAAGAAAAUGGCGAUGAGGAUUUUGAUGUGUGCCUUAACCCACCUGGGAAGAAAAGGAGGCUCACAGCUGGUCAAGUUCAAUUUCUUGAAAGAAACUUUGAUGUAGAAAAUAAGCUUGAUCCAGAGAGAAAGAUACAACUUGCUAAGGAACUUGGGUUACAGCCUCGCCAAGUUGCAAUAUGGUUUCAAAAUCGGCGGGCUCGGUUUAAGAACAAACAGCUGGAAAAGGACUAUGAUUCUUUGAAAACCAGCUACGAUAGGCUCAAGGGUGAUUAUGACAAUCUCCUAAAAGAGAAAGAGAAUUUGAAAAAUGAGCUUGUUUCCCUGAAAGCGAAAUUGCUGGCUCGAGAGAAAGGGAUUGGAAAUUUAGAACCAGUUGAAGCCAUCAAUUCACCUAAUGUAGAACUUCAAAACGCAGUUCCUAAAACUGUUUCUGAAGUGGUUUCCAAUGCACCAUUGGUGAUACCCAAACAGGAAGAGGCAACUUCAGCUAAAAGUGAUGUGUUGGAUUCGGAUAGCCCGCAUUCAUUUUUGGAGCCUGGUGAUUCUUCUCAUGUUUUUGAGCCAGACCAAUCAGAUUUCUCACAAGAUGAAGAAGAUGAUCUUAGCAGAAGCUUUUUGCCCACACCAUACUUCCCAAAACUCUACCAUGAUCCGCCUGCAAAUUCAUGUAGUUUUGAAUUCCCAGUGGAAGAUCAACCAUUUUGGUCCUAUACUUACUGAGUUCAUCUCAUGUCAUAUUGCCUGCGAAUUCAAAUCAAGGUUCUCUGUUGUAAUUAUAUAUAUCUUCAAAAGUGCUUGCCUUUGCCAUAUCCUGUGCUUGGCUUGUGACUCUUUCCACAAGACUUAUCCUGCGUGGUAGAAGCAGCUUUUAAAUGUGAUCAGACUUCAUUUACGUCCACAUUUGAGAUGCUUCUUUUGAAAAUGGGGUCUUCAAUCUGCUCAAAUCUGUGGCAACAAGCAAGCACAUAAGAGGGUCGCAAAUGCAUAGUUCUACCGUUCAAGCUCGCAAGGAGAAGUCAGGAAAAUAUGUCCAAGAAAAAUGAAAUGAUUGUUUCUUGAUGGAACAAGCAUAGACUUGUCCUGGAGUGAAUUAAUGUGUAAAAUUA